rnacentral:rRNA from 1 species
GUAGGGUGCAAGCGUUAAUCGGAAUUACUGGGCGUAAAGCGUGCGCAGGCAGUUUUAUAAGUCAGAUGUGAAAUCCCCGAGCUCAACUUGGGAACUGCGUUUGAAACUAUAAGACUAGAGUGUGUCAGAGGGGGGUAGAAUUCCAAGUGUAGCAGUGAAAUGCGUAGAGAUUUGGAGGAAUACCAAUGGCGAAGGCAGCCCCCUGGAUAACACUGACGCUCAUGCACGAAAGCGUGGGGAGCAAACAGGAUUAGAUACCCUGGUAGUCCACGCCCUAAACGAUGUCUACUAGUUGUUGGUGAGUAAAAUCCAUGAGUAACGCAGCU